GAUGAACGCUGGCGGCGUGCCUAAUACAUGCAAGUCGAGCGAACGGACGAGAAGCUUGCUUCUCUGAUGUUAGCGGCGGACGGGUGAGUAACACGUGGAUAACCUACCUAUAAGACUGGGAUAACUUCGGGAAACCGGAGCUAAUACCGGAUAAUAUUUUGAACCGCAUGGUUCAAAAGUGAAAGACGGUCUUGCUGUAACUUAUAGAUGGAUCCGCGCUGCAUUAGCUAGUUGGUAAGGUAACGGCCUAUCAAGGCAACGAUGCAUAGCCGACCUGAGAGGGUGAUCGGCCACACUGGAACUGAGACACGGUCCAGACUCCUACGGGAGGCAGCAGUAGGGAAUCUUCCGCAAUGGGCGAAAGCCUGACGGAGCAACGCCGCGUGAGUGAUGAAGGUCUUCGGAUCGUAAAACUCUGUUAUGAGGGAAGAACAUAUGUGUAAGUAACUGUGCACAUCUUGACGGUACCUAAUCAGAAAGCCACGGCUAACUACGUG
rnacentral:rRNA from 1 species